rnacentral:tmRNA from 1 species
GGGGAUGCACCGGAUUCGAUUGCCGGUGAGCGAAAGGAUAAGCAUACCGCAGACGGAGUGACUGCGAUAAAACAUUCCACCUAAAUUUAAAUGCAAAUAAUAAUGCAUACGCUCUUGCAGCGUAACUUCGUUUAUUAACGAAACGUCACGCCUGAUUUAUCCGUCGGUCGGGGUCGUGGCGUCAACAAGACGGAACACUUUUAUAAAAAUCGGAAAGUGUUUUUAUAAAAGUAUUUAGCUUUCUGCGAUUAUAAAAGCGUGUUUACCCGCGUUUAUAAUUUAAGAAAUAAUAGAUAAACUAAGUAUGUAGAAAGUUUUUUGGCAGCCGAGUAAGACGUGGGUUCAACUCCCACCAUCUCCACCA